UCCUCCUAUUUUCAGUUGGUUUUGGCAGCGCGAGGACUAGGGUAAUGAUUAAUAGGGAUAGUUGGGGGCAUUAAUAUUUAAUUGUCAGAGGUGAAAUUCUUGGAUUUAUGAAAGAUUAACUUCUGCGAAAGCAUCUGCCAAGGAUGUUUUCAUUAAUCAAGAACGAAAGUUAGGGGAUCGAAGACGAUCAGAUACCGUCGUAGUCUUAACCAUAAACGAUGCCGACCAGCGAUUAGGAGACGUUGAAUACAAAACACCACCAUCGGCGCGGUCGUCCUUGGCGUUCGUGUUCACGCACGGGCGCGAGGGCGGCUUAGCCCGAUGGCACCGGUGAAUGACUCCCCUAGCAGCUUGUGAGAA
rnacentral:rRNA from 1 species